GCGGCGGACGGGUUAGUAACGCGUGGGAAUGUACCCUUCUCUACGGAAUAGCCUCGGGAAACUGAGAGUAAUACCGUAUACGCCCUUCGGGGGAAAGAUUUAUCGGAGAAGGAUCAGCCCGCGUAAGAUUAGAUAGUUGGUGGGGUAAUGGCCUACCAAGUCUACGAUCUUUAGCUGGUUUUAGAGGAUGAUCAGCAACACUGGGACUGAGACACGGCCCAGACUCCUACGGGAGGCAGCAGUGGGGAAUCUUGGACAAUGGGCGCAAGCCUGAUCCAGCCAUGCCGCGUGUGUGAUGAAGGCCUUAGGGUCGUAAAGCACUUUCGCUAGAGAUGAUAAUGACAGUAUCUAGUAAAGAAGUCCCGGCUAACUCCGUGCCAGCAGCCGCGGUAAUACGGAGGGGACUAGCGUUGUUCGGAAUUACUGGGCGUAAAGCGUACGUAGGCGGAUCAGAAAGUAUGGGGUGAAAUCCCAGGGCUCAACCCUGGAACUGCCUCAUAAACUCCUGGUCUAGAGUUCGAGAGAGGUGAGUGGAAUUCCGAGUGUAGAGGUGAAAUUCGUAGAUAUUCGGAGGAACACCAGUGGCGAAGGCGGCUCACUGGCUCGAUACUGACGCUGAGGUACGAAAGUGUGGGGAGCAAACAGGAUUAGAUACCCUGGUAGUCCACACCGUAAACGAUGAAUGCCAGUCGUCGGGUAGCAUGCUAUUCGGUGACACACCUAACGGAUUAAGCAUUCCGCCUGGG
rnacentral:rRNA from 1 species